GACGAACGCUGGCGGCGUGCUUAACACAUGCCAGUCGAACGGUGAAGCGCCUUCCUUUUUGGUGGGUGUGGAUGAGUGGCGAACGGGUGAGUAACACGUGAGUAACCUGCCCCCUUCUUCUGGAUAACCGCAUGAAAGUGUGGCUAAUACGGGAUAUUCUGGGUCUGUCGUAUGAUGGGUCUGGGAAAGAUAUUGUUUCGGUGGGGGAUGGGCUCGCGGCCUAUCAGCUUGUUGGUGGGGUGAUGGCCUACCAAGGCGGUGACGGGUAGCCGGCCUGAGAGGGUGGACGGUCACACUGGGACUGAGACACGGCCCAGACUCCGACGGGAGGCAGCAGUGGGGAAUAUUGCACAAUGGGCGCAAGCCUGAUGCAGCGACGCCGCGUGAGGGAUGGAGGCCUUCGGGUUGUGAACCUCUUUCGCCAGUGAAGCAGGCCUGCCUCGUUUGUGGGUGGGUUGACGGUAGCUGGAUAAGAAGCGCCGGCUAACUACGUG
rnacentral:rRNA from 1 species